rnacentral:rRNA from 1 species
CGAGCGGGCGUAGCAAUACGUCAGCGGCAGACGGGUGAGUAACGCGUGGGAACGUACCUUUUGGUUCGGAACAACACAGGGAAACUUGUGCUAAUACCGGAUAAGCCCUUACGGGGAAAGAUUUAUCGCCGAAAGAUCGGCCCGCGUCUGAUUAGCUAGUUGGUGAGGUAAUGGCUCACCAAGGCGACGAUCAGUAGCUGGUCUGAGAGGAUGAUCAGCCACAUUGGGACUGAGACACGGCCCAAACUCCUACGGGAGGCAGCAGUGGGGAAUAUUGGACAAUGGGCGCAAGCCUGAUCCAGCCAUGCCGCGUGAGUGAUGAAGGCCCUAGGGUUGUAAAGCUCUUUUGUGCGGGAAGAUAAUGACGGUACCGCAAGAAUAAGCCCCGGCUAACUUCGUGCCAGCAGCCGCGGUAAUACGAAGGGGGCUAGCGUUGCUCGGAAUCACUGGGCGUAAAGGGUGCGUAGGCGGGUCUUUAAGUCAGGGGUGAAAUCCUGGAGCUCAACUCCAGAACUGCCUUUGAUACUGAGGAUCUUGAGUUCGGGAGAGGUGAGUGGAACUGCGAGUGUAGAGGUGAAAUUCGUAGAUAUUCGCAAGAACACCAGUGGCGAAGGCGGCUCACUGGCCCGAUACUGACGCUGAGGCACGAAAGCGUG